rnacentral:rRNA from 1 species
UACAGAGGUGGCAAGCGUUGUUCGGAAUUACUGGGCGUAAAGGGCGCGUAGGCGGUUCGAUAAGUCCCGUGUGAAAUCCCUCGGCUCAACUGAGGAACUGCACGGGAAACUGUCGGGCUAGAGUCCGGAAGAGGACGAGUGGAAUUCCCGGUGUAGCGGUGAAAUGCGCAGAUAUCGGGAGGAACACCAAUGGCGAAGGCAGCUCGCUGGGACGGUACUGACGCUGAGACGCGAAAGCGUGGGGAGCAAACAGG